ACAAGUUUAGUUAAAUUGGCUAUAACAUCUACCUUCCAAGUAGAUAUCACCAGUUCGAAUCUGGUAAUUUGUA
rnacentral:tRNA from 4 species